CUACGGGCUGCUGCAGUGAGGAAUAUUGCACAAUGGGGGGAACCCUGAUGCAGCAACGCCGCGUGGAGGAUGACGCAUUUCGGUGUGUAAACCCCUUUUAUAUGUCAAGAAAAUGACGGUAGCAUAUGAAUAAGCACCGGCUAACUCCGUGCCAGCAGCCGCGGUGAAUACGGAGGGUGCAAGCGUUACUCGGAAUCACUGGGCGUAAAGGACGCGUAGGCGGGUUGGAAAGUCAGGUGUGAAAUCCUACAGCUUAACUGUAGAACUGCACUUGAAACUUCUAAUCUAGAGUAUGGGAGGGGGAGAUGGAAUUAGUGGUGUAGGGGUAAAAUCCGUAGAUAUCACUAGGAAUACCUAAAGCGAAGGCGAUCUCCUGGAACAUUACUGACGCUAAGGCGUGAAAGCGUGGGGAGCAAACAGGAUUAGAUACCCUUGUAGUC
rnacentral:rRNA from 1 species